UACGAAGGGGGCUAGCGUUGCUCGGAAUCACUGGGCGUAAAGCGCACGUAGGCGGAUUCCUAAGUCGGGGGUGAAAUCCUGGAGCUCAACUCCAGAACUGCCUUCGAUACUGGGAAUCUUGAGUCCGGAAGAGGUGAGUGGAACUGCGAGUGUAGAGGUGAAAUUCGUAGAUAUUCGCAAGAACACCAGUGGCGAAGGCGGCUCACUGGUCCGGUACUGACGCUGAGGUGCGAAAGCGUGGGGAGCAA
rnacentral:rRNA from 1 species